GAUGAACGCUGGCGGCGUGCCUAAUACAUGCAAGUCGAGCGAACAGACGAGGAGCUUGCUCCUCUGACGUUAGCGGCGGACGGGUGAGUAACACGUGGAUAACCUACCUAUAAGACUGGGAUAACUUCGGGAAACCGGAGCUAAUACCGGAUCAUAUAUUGAACCGCAUGGUUCAAUAGUGAAAGACGGUUUUGCUGUCACUUAUAGAUGGAUCCGCGCCGCAUUAGCUAGUUGGUAAGGUAACGGCUUACCAAGGCAACGAUGCGUAGCCGACCUGAGAGGGUGAUCGGCCACACUGGAACUGAGACACGGUCCAGACUCCUACGGGAGGCAGCAGUAGGGAAUCUUCCGCAAUGGGCGAAAGCCUGACGUAGCAACGCCGCGUGAGUGAUGAAGGUCUUCGGAUCGUAAAACUCUGUUAUUAGGGAAGAACAAAUGUGUAAGUAACUAUGCACGUCUUGACGGUACCUAAUCAGAAGGCCACGGCUAACUACGUG
rnacentral:rRNA from 1 species